rnacentral:tRNA from 1 species
GCCGAGGUGGUGGAAUGGUAGACACCGGGGACUUAAAAUCCCCUGGCCGGAAGGCCGUGUGAGUUCAAAUCUCAUCCUCGGCA